ensembl:lncRNA
GUUUGUCAUGAAACAUAUAUCAUGUCAGCUAUGUCAUGCAACAUGGGGGAUCCUAGUUCCCCGACCAAUUGAACCCACACCUCCUACAUUGGAAGCACAGAUUCCCAACCACUGAACCACUAGUAAUGUCACAAUAUUUCUGUUUCCGGCUGACUCUCUCACCUCUCCACCCUAGAAAAACAGCUCGUUUCUCUUCCUCUCAUCAGAUAGGCAAAGAAAGUGAUUGCAUACUUUUUUAAUUACAGGCGUACAUAAACCUACAAUUCUAGAGUGUUGAUUUGUUGGACCGUAAUGUACACACUGAACUGCAUUUGGCAGCAUGCCAGAUGUGUAAAGUUGGAAUUUAAUGAUGUUUCAGUAGCAGCCCCAGAAUUUUGUACAAUACCACUGUCGAAUACUAAUGUAACAGUAGCAAGAAAACGAACAGAGAAACGGCUUCUUUCUCAAGUUCCCUUUUUUCUCUUUCUUGGAUAUGGAGCAACUGAAAGCAAUUAACUAUUCCAUGGAAACUUCAUCUCAUAAAGAAACUCCAGUCAAAAGCAAACCGUGGUCAUUGUUACUAUGUUCGUGGAACUUUAUCAACCAACCAAAGACUUAGGAAAAGAGGUAAAGAAUAGUGAGCACCUACAUGUAUGGAUGUGAGAGUUGGACUGUGAGGAAAGCUGAGCACCGAAGAAUUGAUGCUUUUGAACUGUGGUGUUGGAGACUCUUGAGAGUCCCUUGGACUGCAAGGAGAUUCAACCAGUCCAUUCUGAAGGAGAUCAGCCCUGGGUGUUCUUUUGGAAGGAAUGAUGCUAAAGCUGAAACUCCAGUACUUUGGCCACCUCAUGCGAAGAGUUGACUCAUUGGAAAAGACCGAUGCUGGGGGGGAUUGGGGGCAGCAGGAGAAGGGGACGACAGAGAAUGAGAUGGCUGGAUGGCACCAUGGACUCGAUGGACGUGAGUCUGAGUGAACUCCAGGAGUUGGUGAUGGACAGGGAGGCCUGGUGUGCUGCGAUUCAUGGGGUUACAAAGAGUCGGACAUGACUGAGUGACUGACUGAAAUGAACAUGCCCAGAACAGUGCCUAUCGCCCUCUCCGUUUCAUUUCCUUCCUUCCUACUUCAUCCCCCAGAGGUCCUGAACUGGGUGUUUAUGCAUACUGUGUGUGUAUCGUGCAUAUACUGGGUAUAUAUUAGUUAGAAGUUGCAUACUCAGGGGACUCCCCUGGUGGUCCUGUGGUUAGGACUCCACACUCCCAACACAGGGGCUGCGGGUUUGAUCCCUGAUUGGGGACUAAGAUCCCACAUGCUGCACAACACAGCACAGCCAAAGAAAAAUAAAUAGAGAAAGCUUAGUUGCUCAGUCAUGUCUGACUCUUUGUGAUCCCAUGGACAGGAGCCCACCAGGCUCCUCUGUUGAUGGGAUUCUCCAGGCAAGAACACUGGAAUGAGUAGCCAUUUCCCUUUCCAUGGGAAUCUUCCCAACCCAGUGAUUAAACCUGGGUCUCCUUCAUUGCAGGCAAGUUCUUUACCAUCUGAGCCCCAGAGAAAGUGGUAAAAUAAAUAGCUAGGUAAAUAUUUAAUAAUAAAAGCUUCCUGCUCUGGUUACUUCUUCAGUUCUUCAUUGUCUUGUGAAGAAUCUAAUUAAAAUUUUUUCUUAAAAAAGAAGUUACAUAUUCUAUUUCUCAGUUUUGUGGUUAACAUUCACACUUUCUCGUGUAUAUAAGUCUAAAAUUCUAUUUCUACUGUCUUUCUGAAAAGGACAAGAAUCUGCCUUAUCUGCAUCACUCCUUUUCCAUACUGCAUGUUAUUUUAUUUCUGUGUUGUUUUUUAUAUCUCGAAACAAUUGUCCAUAGUGACCAUUUUUUAUAGUGAAUAGACUUCUCUCCAUGCCUGCUGAUUGAUUUGCUCUUCAUAUCUCCUUGCAUCCCAGACCUUACUACUGGAAUCACUUCCCUUCUGCUUUUCCUUUGGAAGUUAU